rnacentral:rRNA from 1 species
CCCAGACUCCUACGGGAGGCAGCAGUGGGGAAUAUUGCACAAUGGGGGAAACCCUGAUGCAGCGACGCCGCGUGAGUGAAGAAGUAUUUCGGUAUGUAAAGCUCUAUCAGCAGGGAAGAUAAUGACGGUACCUGACUAAGAAGCCCCGGCUAACUACGCGCCAGCAGCCGCGGUAAUACGUAGGGGGCAAGCGUUAUCCGGAUUUACUGGGUGUAAAGGGUGCGCAGGUGGCAGGGCAAGUCAGAUGUGAAAGCCCGGGGCUCAACCCCGGGACUGCAUUUGGAACUGUGUGGCUGGAGUGUCGGAGAGGCAAGUGGAAUUCCUAGUGUAGCGGUGAAAUGCGUAGAUAUUAGGAGGAACACCAGUGGCGAAGGCGGCUUGCUGGACGAUGACUGACGUUGAGGCUCGAAAGCGUGGGGAGCAAACAGGAUUAGAUACCCGUGUA